GGGAACGUUAGCUUAACGGAAAAGCGCUCCUUCUCACGGGAAGAUCCGAGUUCAAAUCUCGGCCGUUCCCUC
rnacentral:tRNA from 1 species